AGCCAGUUAGCUCAGUUGGUUAGAGUGCGGUGGUGAUAAUGCCAAGGUUAUUUGUUUGAUUCCCAUACGGGCCA